rnacentral:rRNA from 1 species
GACGAACGCUGGCGGCGUGCCUAAUACAUGCAAGUUGAGCGAUGAAGAUUGGUGCUUGCACCAAUUUGAAGAGCAGCGAACGGGUGAGUAACGCGUGGGGAAUCUGCCUUUGAGCGGGGGACAACAUUUGGAAACGAAUGCUAAUACCGCAUAACAACUUUAAACAUAAGUUUUAAGUUUGAAAGAUGCAAUUGCAUCACUCAAAGAUGAUCCCGCGUUGUAUUAGCUAGUUGGUGAGGUAAAGGCUCACCAAGGCGAUGAUACAUAGCCGACCUGAGAGGGUGGUCGGCCACAUUGGGACUGCGACACGGCCCAAACUCCUACGGGAGGCAGCAGUAGGGCAUCUUCGGCAAUGGACGAAAGUCUGACCGAGCAACGCCGCGUGAGUGAAGAAGGUUUUCGGAUCGUAAAACUCUGUUGGUAGAGAAGAACGUUGGUGAGAGUGGAAAGCUCAUCAAGUGACGGUAACUACCCAGAAAGGGACGGCUAACUACGUG